rnacentral:sRNA from 1 species
GUAGAUGAUCAAACGGUGACGUGU